GACGGGGGGUCCUAGCGUUGUUCGGAAUCAUUGGGCGUAAAGCGUGUGCAGGCUGUUCGAUAAGUUGGAUGUGAAAGCCUUGGGCUCAACCCAAGAAGUGCAUUCAAAACUAUCAGACUUGAGUACGGAAGAGGAUCGUGGAAUUCCUAGUGUAGUGGUGAAAUACGUAGAUAUUAGGAGGAACACCGGUUGCGAAGGCGGCGAUCUGGUCCAGUACUGACGCUCAUACACGAAAGCGUGGGGAGCAAACAGG
rnacentral:rRNA from 1 species